AGUGAACGCUGGCGGUAGGCCUAACACAUGCAAGUCGAACGGCAGCACAGUAAGAGCUUGCUCUUACGGGUGGCGAGUGGCGGACGGGUGAGGAAUACAUCGGAAUCUACUUUUUCGUGGGGGAUAACGUAGGGAAACUUACGCUAAUACCGCAUACGACCUACGGGUGAAAGCAGGGGAUCUUCGGACCUUGCGCGAUUGAAUGAGCCGAUGUCGGAUUAGCUAGUUGGCGGGGUAAAGGCCCACCAAGGCGACGAUCCGUAGCUGGUCUGAGAGGAUGAUCAGCCACACUGGAACUGAGACACGGUCCAGACUCCUACGGGAGGCAGCAGUCGGGAAUAUUGGACGAUGGGCGCAAGCCUGAUCCAGCCAUACCGCGUGGGUGAAGAAGGCCUUCGGGUUGUAAAGCCCUUUUGUUGGGAGAGAAAAGCAGCAGGUUAAUACCCCGCUGUUCUGACGGUACCCAAAGAAUAAGCACCGGCUAACUUCGUG
rnacentral:rRNA from 1 species